GAUGAAGAACGUAGCGAAAUGCGAUAAGUAAUGUGAAUUGCAGAAUUCAGUGAAUCAUCGAAUCUUUGAACGCACAUUGCGCCCGUCAGUAUUCUGGCGGGCAUGCCUGUUCGAGCGUCAUUACGCCCCUCAAGUCCCCUGUGGACUUGGUGUUGGGGAUCGGCGAGGCUGGCUUUCCAGCACAGCCGUCCCUUAAAUUAAUUGGCGGUCUCGCCGUGGCCCUCCUCUGCGCAGUAGUAAAACACUCGCAACAGGAGCCCGGCGCGGUCCACUGCCGUAAAACCCCCCAACUUUUUAUAGUUGACCUCGAAUCAGGUAGGACUACCCGCUGAACUUAAGCAUAUCAAUAAGCGGAGGA
rnacentral:misc_RNA from 1 species